UAUAUUUUUUAGCAAAAUCAGUAAACUGUAUAUUAAUUUACUUAGCAAACUACUUCUAGUAUCAUAUCUUAAUAUAAUUUUUGCCAUGAAAUCAUUAGAAAGAUAUUAAAAAAAAAUCCAAAGUCCAAAAUGUCACGGACCGUGUAGUGUGAGAUUGCCGGAUUUGGAAAUGAAAUAUUUUUUUCUAAAGAAAUGUCAUGUUAGUUUGCGAAAAACUACAGCAAUUAUGCAAGACUAACCUUUGUUCUAUAAAACAGUUUAAAAAAUAUAUUAAUAAUAAUGACUAUUUAUGAUUUUGAACAACAUAAAGUUUGUGACGAGUUUUUGUGUCACGACCAUGUACGAUACUAUAAAAAUGGGGUACUCGGUAGAAAAGCAUCUUUGAUAUUGGCAACUCUUUCUAAGUUCUUUUAGAACGGUAACACUGUCUUCUUAUCAGAUUUGCAAAUGGCUGAAUGUAAGAUGUGUUACGCAAAAUAUUUUUUUUCAUUUAUUUGAAAAAAGGGACAACCUUAACACGUCAUCGCCGAGUACGAGUUUUGAACAUGCCACGAAAGAAGAAUAGCAAUGCCACGACAGAAGCAAGAAAAAAAGGCGUGAAUAUGAAAAGAGGAGACGUGCCAAAAUAAAAGCAGAUCCCGUUAAAUACGAGGAAGCAAAAGAAAAAGAACGAGCAUGGCAUCAGCGAUGAAAGGAGCAAAAGAAAAUAUUAUCAAUAAAAGAUUUAUCACGUCGUGAUCAGAAGGCACAACGAGAAAAAUGGUGUAAACGUACUAGAAAAAGUCGAGCAUUAAAAAAAUGCAGAGAACGCGAGAUGCAACUAAUCAGGGAGAAUACUCCUCCGUCUGAUUCGGAAAUUAAUGAAGCCCUGGCGCCAGAUCCGGACGUCUCUUCACUAGUAAGACUGCGCGAUACUACACCGGAGGUUAGGAGAGAUGAUACACCUACCACAUCACAACGAGGUGAAACUCCAUCCUCCAUCAGUCCUCGAGGCAGCGUAAUGAGUACACAAAGGCGCCAAGCGUUAAAAGAACACAAACAACGCAGGAAACUAACUGAUGUUAUAAUUAUGAAUCAAAAAGCAAAAAUAAAAGUACAGCAGAAAGCAAUAUAUACUCUUCAAGUUAAAAUGAACAGGCUGAUAAAGAAGGUUUCUCAAAUACCGAUAGAAGCCACGAAAAGGCAAAGAGUUUUAAAAGAUAUUUGAUGUAAGACGGAUUAUUCAAUGGUUCUACGUCUGAGGUCGCCAAAUAAUCGAACGUUUGCCUGGCGGUGUGCGACGAAGCAUUGUCGUGGUGAAGAAGGAUCCUAUUUCGAGGUCGUUUCCCACGCACUUUUUCCAAAACACGUGGCAAACAAUUGUUACUGUACCACUCUGCAGUAACUGUUUUUCGAUCCUCUAAAACAAUUGUCGCGUAAUGACCUGUCCUUCCAGCGAACGAGCCCCCAUCUUUUUUCUCACGCUUCGACCUCUCUUCACUUUAGUUGACAACUCCUCGGAAGGAAACACUGAGCUGACUGUCUUUUAUUUUCGGGAUCAUAACAGUAAAUCCAGCUUUCGUCUCCCGUAACUAUGUCAAACACAGAAUUUGAGUCAUCUCCGUUAAAUCUUUCAUGUAUUUCACGGCACCAAUCAACACGACGCAGUUUUAGAGCCUCGGUCAAAUUAUGAGGUAUCCACCGGGCACAAAGCUUCCUGACCGCCAAAUGUUCAUGGAGGAUUUUGUGCACUUGACUUAUACCAAUCCCUAGGUUUGCCCGGAUCUGCUGAUAGAUCACUCUUUUGUCAGUCUCUAUCAUACGCCGCACAACACUGAUGUAAUCUUCAGUCGUCGCCGUAGAAGGCCUUCCCUUCACGCACAUCAUCGGUGAGAUUAAUGCGACCACGUUUAAACUUAUUAAACCAGUUGUAAACGCCACUGUUUAGAGUAUUACUUUUUAUGUAAAUGUACGAUUUUACUUCUUUGGAAAAAAAAAAUCAAUCCUUUAAUUUUGUUGGGUUUAAAUUUUCUUUUCUCAGAUAUUUAAUGAUAUUGUGUUAUUUUUUUUAGAAGUUUUAUUUCCUUUCUAGAUUGAAGUUGUGUUAUAAUAUUUACGAGAGGAUAAAAAUGAGUCCAGCUUUGAUACUCAGUUAUUAUGUUUAAUAUUUACUAAUUAUAGGUACUAUGUGAUAUCAAAACAAUGUUACCUGUGACUAGAUAGUUCUAAGAAUAAAAGGCUGAUUUGUUGUAUUAGUAGGUAGAAUGAUUACCUGAUGGUAUUUUUGCCGGGAUCUUAUUUGUGAUUUAAUUAUUUGAUGUUUAAAAAGAAGUAUACUAAAUAAAUACUGUUGAUUAAACCAA